rnacentral:rRNA from 2 species
GUCUUUUAGAAUUAAAUUAAAAGUUUAACCUGCCCAUUGAUUUUUUUUAAAAGGCUGCGGUAUUUUGACCGUACAAAGGUAGCAUAAUCAUUAGUUUUUUAAUUGAAAACUAGAAUGAAUGGUUGGAUGAAAUAUUGACUGUUUUAAUUAAAAUUUUAGAAUUUUACUUUUUAAUUAAAAGGUUAAAAUAAAUUUAAAAGACGAGAAGACCCUAUAGAGUUUAAUAUUUAUUUAUUUUUAAUUGAUUUGGUUUAAUUUUUAUUAAAUUUAAUUAAAUAUUUUGUUGGGGUGAUAAUAAAAUUUUAUGAACUUUUAUUUAUAAAAUCCAUUAAUAUAUGAAUUUUUGAUCCAUUAUUAAUGAUUAUAAGUUUAAAUUACCUUAGGGAUAACAGCGUAAUUUUUUUUUAAGUUCUUAUUAAUAAAAAAGAUUGCGACCUCGAUGUUGGAUUAAGAUUAAUUUUAGGUGCAGAAGUUUAAAAUUUAAGUCUGUUCGACUUUUAAAUUCUU